rnacentral:tRNA from 2 species
GCGAGUGUAGUUCAACGGUAGAACAAUUUCCCCUCGUUUCGAUACCCCGAAACCACUAUGCAGGUUCAACUCCUGCCGCUCGCU